CGGGAAAACUUUGUUAAGGAAAACAAAGGAUGGGAAGAUUGUUGGGUGGAAUGUCGAAGACGAUGAUUCUUCUUGCACUCUACAAGAAGCCUUUCAUAAAGUUAAUCCUUCUCUCGGAUUCAACAUCGAAUUGAAGUUUGAUGAUCACAUUGUGUAUCAAGAAGAAUAUCUAGUCAGUGUACUCCAAGCGAUUUUGCAAGUUACAUAUGAAAAUGCGAAGGAAAGACCAGUUAUCUUUUCCACGUUUCAACCAGAUGCUGCUUUGCUUAUGAAAAAACUUCAGAACACAUACCCUGUGAGUACGCUAAUUGGAUUCCAUUGAUUUCUUUUACUGGAGAGUGUUCUAUGGAUCUUAAUCACUAUAUCGUUUACGGAUGUAUUUACAAUGGGGUAGGAUGCUGACUUACAGUAAAUGUGUCAGGUAUUUUUCCUCACAAACGGAGGAAACGAGAUUUACUAUGAUGUAAGAAGGAAUUCAUUGGAGGAGGCCAUCAAACUAUGCUUAGAGGGUGGUUUGCAGGGAAUUGUUUCGGAAGUCCGAGGCAUAUUUACAAAUCCUGGGACUGUGACAAAGAUCAAAGAAUCAAAGCUCUCUCUCCUGACAUACGGAAAAUUAAAGUAAGUGAUACUUGUAUCCUUGUUAUUACUGUAAAUAUUUGAAGUCUUUGAAUACUGAUAAUUUGCUUCAUUUAUCUCAGCAAUGUGCCUGAAGCCGUGUAUAUGCAACAUUUAAUGGGCAUCGACGGAGUAAUUGUGGAUUUAGUUCGAGAAAUAACAGAGACUGUUUCCAAUAUGAUGAAGCCAUCUGAGGAAGCAGUAUCUGGAGAGGGACAAAUUCCAGGACAAGGAAAACCUCAAUUUUCACAAACGGAAUUGACGUUUCUGCUUAAACUGAUUCCAGAAUUGGUACAACAAUGAUUCUUUCUGAAUGUUUUCUUCAAACUUGAAGAGUAUAGGUGGUCUACAAUGUUUCUACUUCUGUACAGGAGUUGGUAAUCUACGACAGUAUGUGUACCAUUAACAGUUCACACGUAUUUGGUGUCUGGUCUGGACCUUUUUCAU
rnacentral:lncRNA from 1 species